AGAAAAGAAAUGAGGGUUGGGUGUAUAGGG
rnacentral:piRNA from 1 species